rnacentral:rRNA from 1 species
GUAGGUGGCAAGCGUUGUCCGGGAAUUAUUGGGGCGUAAAGCGCGCGCAGGCGGUUCCUUAAGGUCUGAUGUGAAAGCCCACGGGCUCAACCGUGGAGGGUCAUUGGAAACUGGAGAACUUGAGUACAGAAGAGGAAAGCGGAAUUCCACGUGUAGCGGUGAAAUGCGUAGAGAUGUGGAGGAACACCAGUGGCGAAGGCGGCUUUCUGGUCUGUAACUGACGCUGAGGCGCGAAAGCGUGGGGAGCAAACAGGAUUAGAUACCCUGGUAGUCCACGCCGUAAACGAUGAGUGCUAAGUGUUAGGGGGUUUCCGCCCCUUAGUGCUGCAGCUAACGCAUUAAGCACUCCGCCUGGGGAGUACGGCCGCAAAGGCUG